AACGAACGCUGGCGGCAUGCCUAACACAUGCAAGUCGAACGAGACCUUCGGGUCUAGUGGCGCACGGGUGCGUAACGCGUGGGAACCUGCCCUUAGGUUCGGAAUAACUCCCCGAAAGGGGUGCUAAUACCGGAUAAUGUCUUCGAACCAAAGAUUUAUCGCCUUUGGAUGGGCCCGCGUUGGAUUAGCUAGUUGGUAGGGUAAAAGCCUACCAAGGCGACGAUCCAUAGCUGGUCUGAGAGGAUGAUCAGCCACACUGGGACUGAGACACGGCCCAGACUCCUACGGGAGGCAGCAGUGGGGGAUAUUGGACAAUGGGCGAAAGCCUGAUCCAGCAAUGCCGCGUGAGUGAUGAAGGCCUUAGGGUUGUAAAGCUCUUUUACCCGGGAUGAUAAUGACAGUACCGGGAGAAUAAGCUCCGGCUAACUCCGUG
rnacentral:rRNA from 1 species